rnacentral:rRNA from 1 species
UACGAACCGUCCAAACGUUAUUCGGAAUCACUGGGCUUAAAGGGUGCGUAGGCGGCCCGGUAAGUUGGGUGUGAAAUCCCACGGCUCAACCGUGGAAUUGCGCCCAAGACUGCCGGGCUCGAGGGAGAUAGAGGUGAGCGGAACUUAGGGUGGAGCGGUGAAAUGCGUUGAUAUCCUAAGGAACACCGGUGGCGAAAGCGGCUCACUGGGUCUCUUCUGACGCUGAGGCACGAAAGCUAGGGGAGCGAAC